rnacentral:SRP_RNA from 1 species
CGUGAGGAGCAUACGGUCUGCUCCUUCCGAACUCCCCCAGGGUAGAAAUGCAGCAAGGGUAGGAAGUUGAGCGACGCGGUGUGUUUCCUCACAUUU